AAGGGGCACAAAAAUGCCUAGAAAAGUGUGGAAAAAAGGGACUGGGAAAGAGGGAGUUUUCACGUGACAAAGCUCCACACUGAUUAGUCUACAAUGAGGGCAAUUUGAAAGGAUGGCUCAUCAGUUAAGAGCACUGGAUGUGCUUCUGUGUGGCCUUAGCUUCUAUUCCCAUCACCACACGGUGUCUCACAACUCUACAUGACUCUAGUUCUAAGGAAUCCAGUGUAAAAGUCAUGAAAUCGUUGAUUUAUAGACUCAGUGAGCUCAGGUCUCAGCUAUAGAAGACAGAGUUGCUGGCCCAGAGAGCCUUGGUCCAAACCCUGACCUCAGCGCUCUGUACUUUUGCAGAGUCUUCUGUAGUUCUGCCGUCCAUCUUUAGGGGCUUGGACCAUGAGACUGCCAUGACAGCCUGCAUGCAUGAUUCCUCUUCUGUAGUUCUGCUAUCUGUCUUUAGGGGCUUAGGCCAUGAGACAACCAUCGCCAACUCCCUCCUUUGGGCCAGACAGUCUUGAUGUCUUCCCUGGUGGUUAUGGAAUUGAGAUGGGAAAUUAAGAAUGUAACUGUUUCAGGCGAUGGAGUCUGGAACCCACGAGGCUUGUUAAUGAUAUCCAUUUUCAUUAUCAGCAGACCUCAGAGCCAGGAUUCCUGCUUUACUCCACAAAGUUGUUGUCUGACUGCCAGCUCUGUGGUCCCAAGAGCCAGCUUGAAGGAUGAGUCCCAGAGGGCCUGACUCCAGGGAGGCGAUGAUGCUUUAAUGAGCCAUGGUUCAAUUCCUCUUUGGCUCUUUCUACCAACUCCAGGUGGGAUGCCUCUAUAGAUCACUGGAUAGACCGGAUCUGACAGAUGUGCAGAUGAGCUCAGAGGCCCAAACACAGCAAUCAAGGCAGAAGGCUGGUCCAGCAGGCAGGACUCUUGCUUGCCAGAAGGAAGUAUGGGGACUUCAUGACCCAAGCAGAGCUGGAGAAAUCUUCUCGGAGGAGGGAACGUCUGAGAGAGGAUCACAGAAGUACGGGCAAGAGGAGGAGCUUACGGAUGAAGCAGAGGAGGGGAAGAGGAUGCAAUUGGAUUUGAUGGCUUUGAACUUCUGUCCUUCGAGUCCCAGUUCGAUCCAAGCCCAUGGCAUUCAAUGCACAAUGACUUCUUUGACCUUUCUAGACAUUCAGGGAAAUGAAGUUUGUAUGUCUUCGUAGUUAGGUAAUGAGGUGGUGGGCACCGGCAGGUUGGGUCAUCGUGAGUUAAUUCUCUGCUGUUUGUUUUUCUGCUCUGUUGGUGGAGGGUCAGAUAAACAUGUCACCAGCCUUCACUGUUAAUGGAGAUGCAGGCACAUCUUCACUUCACAUUUAAGAGAUUGACAAACGUCCUCUGAGGUGCCAACGAGGUGGCACUGUCAGCCACAGAAAUAGAAAAAGUGAGGCAAAGCCUUACCCCAUCCCUUCUCUCACGACACCUGGGCUUCCGGACACCCUAAGGAAAGCAAGACAAAACACAGGGUUGGUGGGGAGGGCUCCAGGCUCUGUCCUAACUCUGUGGCUGACUAUUGGUGUCCAUUGGAAUCAGGCCUGAUCUAUAUUCAAGUUCUUAAUUUCAAAUAUUGGACACUUUAGUUCUGGGGUAUUUUUAAAAAUAGAUUCCAAUUUUCUGCUGGAAUUCUCUAGUCAUUUCACAGCAUUUUCCGCUAUAGAAUGUGAACCUUCAUACUAAUGUCCUUAUUUACUCACUUAGGGAUCUAGACUUUUAAAGUUAACUGAUUUAUUUUUACAUGUUACUUCUGUUUUGUAGUAUUGGGAAUUGAAUCCAGGGCCUUGUACAAUGUGAAUGCUCUACCAUGAGGCUACCCCUCCCCAACCUUAGAUCAUUUGUAUAUCAUUUACAGUAUAUUUCCCCCUUUGGUCAUAUUCUCCCAACUUUGCAUAUCUAAUAACGUUCAUUGUGGGCUGAACACUAAUAACAAUAGAUGUAUUGGACACUGUGGAUAACCAGUCUCACCAGACACACUUCCCAUUUUUCUCUCAGGCAGGUAGAGUCAGGUACUGAGC
ensembl:lncRNA